GACGAACGCUGGCGGCGUGCUUAACACAUGCAAGUCGAGCGGAGCGGCGAACGGGUGAGUAACGCGUGAGUAACUGCCCCCCUCUCUGGGAUAACAGUUGGAAACGGCUGCUAAUACCGGAUAGUUGGGGAUGACUCUGGUCCUAUCGGAUUGUGGGUUGGGUAGUGGCCGACCACGGCGACGACGGGUAGCCGGCCUGAGAGGGCGACCGGCCAAAUUGGGCUGAGAUAAGGCCCAAACUCGUACGGGAGGCAGCAGUGGGGAAUAUUGCACAAUGAGCGGAAGCCUGAUGCAGCGACGCCGCGUGGGGGAUGACGGCCUUCGGGUUGUAAACUCCUUUCACCAUCGACGCGGUAGAUGGAGAAGAAGCACCGGCUAACUACGUGCCAGCAGCCGCGGUAAUAC
rnacentral:rRNA from 1 species